rnacentral:tRNA from 1 species
AAUUGUAUUUUCAUUUAUAAUGAUUUUGAAUUGCAAAUUCAACGGUGGGUUAAGCCCUAUAAUUU